rnacentral:rRNA from 1 species
GACGAACGCUGGCGGCGUGCUUAACACAUGCAAGUCGAACGGAAAGGCCCUGCUUGCAGGGUGCUCGAGUGGCGAACGGGUGAGUAACACGUGGGUGAUCUGCCCCUUACUUUGGGAUAAGCCUGGGAAACUGGGUCUAAUACUGGAUAGGACCAUGCUGUAGGUGGUGUGGUGGAAAGAUUAGUUUCGGUAAGGGAUGAGCUCGCGGCCUAUCAGCUUGUUGGUGGGGUAAUGGCCUACCAAGGCGUCGACGGGUAACCGGCCUGAGAGGGUGGACGGCCACAUUGGGACUGAGAUACGGCCCAGACUCCUACGGGAGGCAGCAGUGGGGAAUAUUGCACAAUGGGCGCAAGCCUGAUGCAGCGACGCCGCGUGGGGGAUGACGGCCUUCGGGUUGUAAACUCCUUUCAGCCAUGACGAAGCCUUCGGGUGACGGUAGUGGUAGAAGAAGCACCGGCUAACUACGUG